rnacentral:rRNA from 1 species
GACGAACGCUGGCGGCGUGCUUAACACAUGCAAGUCGAACGGAGAGUCCGGACUUUGUUGGGCUGGUCGAGUGGCGAACGGGUGAGUAACACGUGAGUAACCUGCCCCUGACUUUGGGAUAAGCUCAGGAAACUGGGUCUAAUACGGGAUAUGAGCUCUUGCCGCAUGGUGGGCGUUGGAAAGUUUCGUUGGUUGGGGAUGGGCUCGCGGCCCAACAGGCUGAUGGUUGGGUAGUGGGACACCAAGGCCUUGAACGGUAGCCCGGCUGAGAGGGUGACCGGCCCCACUGGGACGGAGAUACGGCACGGACUACAACGGGAGGCAGCAGUGGGGAAUAGUGCACAAUGGGCGGAAGGCUGAUGCAGCAACGCCGCGUGGGGGAUGACGGCCUUCGGGUUGUAAACCGCUUUUAGCUGGGACGAAGCGAGAGUGACGGUACCGGGAGAAGAAGCGCCGGCUAACUACGUG